GAGGUCCAGCCUGCCCAGUGACAUAGUUUAACGGCCGCGGUACCCUAACCGUGCGAAGGUAGCAUAAUCACUUGUUCUUUAAAUAGGGACUCGUAUCAACGGCAUCACGAGGGCUAUACUGUCUCCUUUCUCCAAUCAAUGAAACUGAUCUCCCCGUGAAGAAGCGGGGAUUAACCUAUAAGACGAGAAGACCCCAUGGAGCUUCAAACUCAACAUAUACCUCUACGCACUUAAACCACUUUAGCCCAAGAGACCUCUAUGUUAGUUUUGGGUUGGGGGGACCGCGGAGUAAAAAUUAACCUCCACGACAAACGGGCUUUAUGCCCUUAUCCACGAACUACAACUCUAAGAAUCAAUAAACUGAUGUUUAUGACCCGAUUAUUCGAUCAACGAACCAAGUUACCCUGGGGAUAACAGCGCAAUCUACUUCAAGAGCCCCUAUCGACAAGUAGGUUUACGACCUCGAUGUUGGAUCAGGGUAUCCUAGUGGUGCAGCCGCUACUAAUGGUUCGUUUGUUCAACGAUUAAAACCCU
rnacentral:rRNA from 1 species